rnacentral:rRNA from 1 species
UACGGAGGGUGCAAGCGUUAUCCGGAUUCACUGGGUUUAAAGGGUGCGUAGGUGGGAAUGUAAGUCAGUGGUGAAAUCUCCGUGCUUAACAUGGAAACUGCCAUUGAUACUAUGUUUCUUGAAUUUUCUGGAGGUCAGCGGAAUAUGUCAUGUAGCGGUGAAAUGCUUAGAUAUGACAUAGAACACCAAUUGCGAAGGCAGCUGACUACAGGGAUAUUGACACUGAGGCACGAAAGCGUGGGUAGCGAACAGG